rnacentral:lncRNA from 1 species
GACGCACCGCGUCGUUUAUAGCAUCGAUGCCCAAUUUUCAGUCAUUAAAUGGCCGCGUCUUUAAAGGUCAAUAGGUCAAUUUCCUAUGAACCAGGUCAGCCCCAAACACGAAAUUAAUCCCUAAAUGACCUAAAUAUCUCAUUCUUCACUCAAGUUGCCUCAAAGUUCAUCAUUCCCUCUCAAAAGCAAGGAAACCCUAGUUUCAAAAUUCUAGGGCAAGGCUCAAGAAUCUCUGCAAGAACCCUUAAGGAUUUACAUUCUAAGGUAUGUAAAGUGUUGAUUCAUGGGUUCCUUUCACCUAUGAAGCUCAAGAAGCC